GGUAAUUAUAAUUUCCUCUCUAAAUGACCAUGUCCCUGAUGGUAAAAUGAAACAAAGGCCUCAUGUUGGUUGAGGUUAUUUAAUAUAUCUCUCUAAAGGUCACUGUCCCUUAUGGUAAAAUGAUGCCUUGUAUUGGUUGAGGUAAUUUAAAUUACCUCUCUAAUGGUCCCUGUCCCUGAUGGUAUAAUGAAACAAAUGCCUUGUUUUGGUCAAGGUAAUCAAAAUUACCUUUCUGAAUGUCCCUGUCCCUAAUGAUAAUGAGAUUGUC
rnacentral:lncRNA from 1 species